GCAAUCCCUACAAGGGCAGCUCUUGGGGCACAGAUCAGGGGUGAAAUGGAGACAAGAUCUGGAUGGGCAAAGGAAGGAGAUCCAGCUCACGUUUCAAGGCCAACUCCUCCCCAAGUGCACGACAAUCCCUCCCAUUGAAGGCGCCAAGAAGGAACUCACUGUCAUCGCCGAGACCAGAGUCAGCGGGUGAAGGCAGCGACCAGUUCUGGAACCACAUUCAGUCCCACACCCAAGCAGCUGAGCGAAACUCUUCCUCCUCCACGAGGCCUCUCCCAGCCCUUCAGUUCAUGACGCCUUGGUGAGAGAGGAGGAUCAAAUCAGGCAGGAAUGCAACCACAUCAGUCACCUGGAAGGAACGCAGGCAUCCGCAGAGGAGGGGGUGAGGUGUGGAGUCUCUGCCCGAACAUCGGUUAAGUGGUGAGUGAAUUGACUGGGAUGAAACUGAUGAGGAUGGUAGUAACGAUGCUCUAAAGCACCCGAGUUUUCCCCCAGUUCCCUCAGGGAAGCCCCACUCUGAGACCUGGGACCGCCACUCCCAAAUCCCUGUCCCAGAUUCUUUCCUUUUCCGAGGGCAUCUAGAGGACAAGCACCUUCUGAUCGGAAUGUUUUCCAAAUACUCAACAUCUGGAAGGAGCUGUUACAAAGGCCCCCUUUGUGUAGCCGGGAAAUGGGCUGGCAAUAAAACAGGGCCAGACCCUGCCGAGCUGGGAAUGGCAGUGGGGAGAGGGUGGGUGAGAGGAGCAGCGCGGAACAGGCUGGGAGGAGGACCUGUGAGAGCAAGGUCUCCGAGAGGGGUGUCCGGGCAGCAUGGGACAAUGGAGAGUGACCAUUGCAUAUCCAGCGCUUUCUAUGUGCUUUCUCUGUAGUGUCUUAUUUAUGUAAAAGAAAGUUUCAGCAGUGGUCACAGUGAGGGGGGAAGAUGUAUCUGAAGCGUGGUGGGAAAGAUGGAAGAAUUCACUCAACAGUAUAACAUUUUUCAGGUCUUGACAGAGAAGGCAGAAAAACCUUCCCUGCUGGAGUGUUAAAAGGUGACAACGCCCCAACCCUGUUUCUAACCUGCAUCAUUCCCCCACUUCCUUAGAGCCAUGUGCUCAGAAAGCAGGUCCAGGUGCCCUUGCAGGAGCCUCCUGUCCCUUUGUUCCAGCAGGUGUCUGUGAGUCUGUGUGCACGCCCUUGGGGGCUUAUGGGACCUAUAAGAACAGAUGAUUCUUCCCGUCUGUUCUGCCACAACCAAGCAACGCUCUGCCCUUCCUUGUAUGCCCCCUGGCCCCAAGGCAGUCUGAAAACACAAGGGAGUUCUCUUGAUGGAAACUUCUUGGGAGACUGCAGGCCUGCUAUGCAAAAGUCGCUUCCCAAAAGCCAGAAAGCCAUAUGCUGUUUAUUUCCAAAAGUAUCUGGAAAUCAAUUCAGGCAGCUCUUGCAGAAUUUCAGAAUCUCGGGGCUGGAACGAAUCUCAGGAGCCCGAUUGCAAAUGGGCAGUGGAUGGACCACCUGCUUUAGACUCCACGAGGGGGCUUGUUAAACAUGCAGAGUCCUAGGCUGAGCCCUGGAACCACCUGGUGAGCGGGGAUGGGGAGUUGGAAUCCAGAAAUCUGCAUUUGGUAAGCUCUAUGAGUGAUUUUUCAUUCAAGUGUGAGAAGUAUUGAUCCAAAUCCUGACCCAGCCUCCAGGACAGCAGCACUUGCUAAGGUGAGACACACGGCUGUUUUUUUCCAUUCUUAAACAUAUCUAAGGCUGCAUGCAUUUCCCUCAGCAUUCAGAAAGGCUUUCUCAACUUUCUUUUUUUAUAUCUAAUCUUAGCUUUCUGAGCAUCCUCCUUGCAUAAUUUAUUGAGCACAGACUAUCUACUGGGUGAGUUCAUUGCAUAUUGCCUUUUUACUAUUCAUGGCAUCCUUUGAGUCACAUACAGUUGGAGGCAGCUGGAGAGGGAGGGGAAAAUAAGAAGAAAGGAAGUCGUCGGAAAAGAAGGGAAAGGCAGAGAUGAGGAAGACCUUCCCUUAUCUCCUGCCUUUGGGAACAAUAAGCUGACUUCUUGGUGUGUCCUGGUCCUUUUUACAACUGGAGCAGAUAGAGUGUUAUUGAAACUCAGAACUGCCACAUUUGGAAAAACUAAAUUCUACUUUUGUUUUUCCAGACUUCCCAGGCCAUAUUACAUCUUUCUGACCAGUUGGAUGCUAUAGGAAGUCAGCUCAGAUGCUUCUAGGAAACCUUAGGCUUUUGUGAGAAAAAGAAGGCAUGCAGCUGGUACUAGCCUCCCCUCUUCUUCCAGCAUUGGACAGUGCAUUCAUUUUCUAGGGCUGUCCUAACAAAUUACCACCCUCUGGUGGCUUAAAGCAAGAGGAUCUUAUUAUCUCAGAGUUCUGGAGGCUAGAAGUUUAAAACCAAGGUGUCAGUGGGGCCAUACUCCCUCCAAAGCCUCUAGGAGAGAAAUUUCCUUGCCUCUUCCAGCUCCUGGUGCUUCCUGGCUGAUAUGGUUUGGCUUUGUCCCCACUCAAAUCUCAUCUUGAAUUAUAGCUCCCAUAAUUCCCACGUGCUGUGGGAGGGACCAAGUGGGAGGUAACUGAAUCACAUGAACAGGUUUUUUCUGUGCUGGUCUUGUGAUAGUGAACAUGUCUCAUGAGAUCUGAUGGUUUUAUAAAGGGGAGUUCCCCUGCACUUGCUCUCCUGCUGCUGCCAUGUAAGACGUGACUUUGCUCCUCAUUCACCUUCUGCCAUAACUGUGAGGACUCCCUAGACAUGUGGAACUGUGAGUUGAUUCAGUUGAUUGAACUUCUUUCCUUUAUAAAUUACCCAGUCUCUUCUUUCCUUUAUAAAUUACCCAAUUUAUUAGCAGCGUAAGAACAGAUGAAUACACUGGUAUUCCCUGGCUUGGGACAACAUCAUUCCAAUCUCUGCUUCUGUCUUCAUAUGGCCUUUUCCUCCCUGUCGUUGUGUGUCCUUCUCUGUCUCUUAUAAGGACACAAUCACUGAAGCUCACUCUAAUCCCAUAUGAUCUCAUCUCAAUCCUUAACUACCUCUGAAAAGAUUCUAUAAGGUCACAUUCUGAGGUUCCAGGUGGACAUGGAUUUUGGUGGAGGACACUAUCCAACCCACCACAGAUAGGGACAUUGUAUUAGUCCAUUCUCAUGCUGCUAUAAGGAUAUACCCAAGACUGGGUAAUUUAUAAAGGAAUAGGUUUAACUGAUUCACAGUUCUGCAGGGCUGGGGAGGCCUCAGGAAACUUGCAAUCAUGACGGAAGGGGAAGCGAACACAUCCUUCUUCACAUGGAGGCAGGAGAGAGAAGAAUGAGUGUGAGCGAAGGGGAAGCCCCUGAUAAAACCAUCAGAUCUCAUGGGAACUUACUCACUAUUAUGAGAACAUCAUGGCGGAAACAGCCUCCGUGAUUCAAUUACUUCCUACCAGGCCCUUCCCAUGACACGUGGGGAUUAUGGGAACUACAAUUCAAGAUGAGAUUUGGGUGGGGUCACAGCCAAAUCAUAUCAGACAUGAUUUACAGAGCCACGGAAGCCUGAGGGGCAGCAUGAGGACAAAAAUAAGCUAAGAAAGGCAGAGACAUCAAAGGCUAAAUGUGAAGACUCUGAGCUGAGCCAUGAGCUGUCAGGUCUGGAAAGAGUCAGUGCAAUAAAAACAGCAUGGUUCAUAUUGGCUGUGGAGUCACCCAGACCUGGGUUUAAAUUCCAGGCCACUGUCACUUUCAGGAGGGAAACCCAGAAGAGUUUUCUCAUGCCUUUAAACUUUAUCUAACCUCUUUGAAAACUUUAUUUGAGGAAUACACAAGAUAACACACUCAAUAAUUCACUCACACUCCUUGUUCUUUACCUAACAGCAGCAACUUUGCCUUACUUAUUUUCAUAUCUCCUGCAUAUGACACAUAAUAUACAGUAAUUAAUAUUUGUGGGCCCAGAGUAAUCAACCAAAUAUUUGUUAUGUGUCAGUAGCUACUUUAAAUAUUACAAAGCUUCAGUUUCUACCAGUGAAAUACAGGGAUUUGUUGGGCCUGGGCUACUGGAGUGUUACUGGAAUAAUAGGCCAUUAAAGAUCAGGAAGGCUUCCAGUUCAACGUGGUAGACGAAGUAUGCAUGUGUGCCCCCACUCCAAUCUCACAUUAAAUUGUAAUUCCCCAGUGUCAGGGGUGGGGCCUGGUGGGAGGUGAUUGGAUCAUGGGGGUGGGUUUCUCAUGAAUGGUCUAGCACUGUCCCCCUUGGUACUGUCCUCAUGAUAGUGAGUGAGGUCUUAUGAGUUCUGGUCGUUUAAGUGUGUGCAGCAUCCCCCCACCCGUGCUCUCUUGCUUCUGCUCUGGCCAUGUGACGUGACUGCUUCCCUUCACCUUCUGCCAUGAUUGUAAGCUUCCUGAGGCCUCCCCAGAAGCUGAGUAAAUGCCAGCACCACGCUUCCUGUAUAGCCUGCAGAACCAUGAGCCCAUUAAACCUCUUUUCUUUAUAAAUUACAGUCUCAGAUAUUUCUUUAUAGCAACGCUUGAAUGGCUUAAUACAACAUGAUCCUUUCCACUCCUUCCCUAAGCCCCUGAAAUGAUAGUAAACAAAAUUAAAAGAUAAAAAAAAGUCAGAAAUACAAGGAGAAUGAGAGAUGAGAGGACAUGAGAGGGUUUUGAAAGUCAGCAGCUCUCUCUUCUCUCUUCCUUGGCGCUGCCUACGGAGGUGGCAGCCAUCUCCUACUCAGCGUCGUGGCUACCCUCAGACCCCUCGUGAAGCCCAGGAUUGUGAAAAACAGAACCAAGAAGUUCAUCUGGCACCAGUCAGAUCCAUAUGUCAAAAUUAAGUGUAAAUGGCAGAAACCCAGAGGUACUGACAACAGGGUUCAUAGAAAGUUCAAGGGCUGCUCAACAUUAGUUAUAGGAGUAACAAAAAAACAAAGCACAUGCCGCCCAGUGGCUUCCGGAAGUUCCUGGUCCACAAUGUCAGGGGGUUAGAAGUGCUGCCGAUGUGCAACAAAUCUUACUGUGCUGAGAUGGCUCACAAUGUUUCCUCCAAAAAUGGCAAAGCCAUCAUGGAAAGAGUAGCCCAGCUGCUCUCAGAGCCACCAACCCCAAGGCCAGGCUGCACAGCGAAGAACAGGAAUACACAGCUCACGUGCAUGUCUUAUUUGUGUUUAAACAAAACCAUAAAAACUGCCUGAAAAAAAAAGAAGAAAAAAAAAGUGUCAGCAACUGAUUUAGCUGAUUAAAAAAAGGUGAAGCACAACUGACUACAGAGGAAGAGGCCAUGCAAGGUAGCCGACCCACACCUUGACACACCAGGAUGCAAGGAAUUGGAUGGAGUCACCUAUUGUCUCCCAAAGCAGUGUGUGCAAUGGGGCAGGGAACAGCAGGCUUCCUUGAGAAUCUGUACCAAGCUACCGGAGCUCCCGGAUCCCCAGCACAUCCCUGCCCUGUGCACCAAGCAACUCCUCAUCCGCCACAACAGGAGACAAAACUGAACCAGGGAGAGUCCAGAUGUGGAGACUGCAUAGGGCAGGGGCAGCACAAGGACCAGAAGACAGGGGUAAAAAAGAAAUGUCUACAUGCCCCUUCACCUAGUUUGCUCUUCAAAUGUUAGAGACCAACUUACAAUCCACCCAUGAGAACGGUCUGGAUUUCUCUGUGGUAAGAUAGAUCAUCCCAAGAGAAAACCCUAAACAUAGUGAUAUUUAAGAGUCUCCAGUGAAAAGUGGAGUCUCUCUCUAAGUGCCCUACAGCGAGAUUUACCAGCUCUCUGGUCCCAUCCACCUCCACCCCUACAUCCAGAGCAUUCAAUGAGGCAAGCAUCAUCAGGCAGUCGGAGAAAAUUCCCAGUAGGAAAGACAGAGACUAAAAUAAGAAAAUAGUGUGGGGCAGUGGGGGUGGUGGGAGCAGGGAAGGAGAAAGAAACCUGGAGAAAAUAGGGAGCAAAAGAGAAAAAAAAAGAAAAACGGUGACCUCCUUUCAUUAUUAUCCCUGGAUAGACAGAAGAAAGAAUUGCCUUCAGGAAAGAAGAACAGAAGGCCACAAGAAGGAAUUUUAUGGCAACUAGAGCUUUUAAAAAUUACUAAGUUUCUCUUAUUCCUUAAGAGAAACAGUAAGACAGAAUGAUGAAAAAGAAGAUCAAACCAGGGGUUCCAAGAUCCAACAAAUAAGAAUUCCAAAAGAAGAACAGAAAAAAAUUGAGGAAAGGAAAUUGUGAAAUAAAUAAGAAAGUGAACAUGAGUUUCCAUAUUGAAAUAGAUGAUCAGGGGCCCAGUUCAAUGACUGAAAAGAGACCCAUACCAAGACCCUGUGUCAUGAAACUUCAGCUCAUUAGACAUAAAAUAACCUUCAAAGGAGGGAAGUAGGAGGUGAGGAAAGGAGAGACAGGGAAAGAGAGAGAGAGAGAGAAAUUUCAUAUACAAAAGAGAAGGAAUCUGAAGAGUAUGGAACAACUCAAUAGCAACACACAAGAUGAGAAGGUAAUGGAGCAAUAAUAUCAGAUUUCUAAGAUAAACUGAUUUUCCACCUAAACGUCUGUAGCAAACAAACUAUCAAUCAAGUGUGACAAAAACAUUUUAGAAUAUGCAAGUUCUCAAAAAAUUUUCCUCCACAGAAAACUAUGGAAGGAUAUGCUCCAUCAGAAUGAGGGAGUAAAUCAAGAAAAAGGAAGAUUUGGGAGAGCCUGGCAGCAGAGUAUUUCAUUCAGGGAUUGCCUAGGGUGGCAUAAAACAGAUCCAUGAGCAAAGAGACAUUUAUUGUGCUCAAAUACAAAAGUCCGGUGGGAGCAGUCACAACGCAACAGUUUCGUGAUAUCCCAAUGUGCCCAGUGCUGACUGUCUGUCUUGUAUUACCAAAGCUGGUGUACAGACUCCAUCCUCAUGCUUGCCUCAUGGUGCUAUGGUGGCUGUCCCAUCUCUAGCUUUUCAUCUGUAUUCCAGGCAGGAAGAAGAAUGCAGCAAAUGAGAAAAGAACAGCCUCUACCUCAGAAAAACAAAACUUUCUUAGAAAAAUUAUCAGCAGGCUACUGCUUUUGUCUCCUUGGCCAGAAUUGUGUCGCCCUGUAGCUACAAUGGGCUGGGAAAUACAGUUUUUAGGUUGGUAUAUUAGUUUCCUAUUGCUGUUGUAAUAAAUAACCAUGAAGAGUGGUUUAAAACAAAGCAAAUGUAUUAUCUUACAGUUCUAGAGGUCAGAAGUCUGAAGUGGGUCUCACUGGGCUAAAAUCAAGGUGUCCUUGGCAGGGCCAAGUGCUUUUCUGGAGGCUCCAGGGGAGAAUUUGUUUUUUUAUCUCUUCCAGCUUCUAGAGGCCACCUAUUUUCCUUGACUCAUGGCUCCUUCCUCUGUCUUCAAAGCUUGCAAUGGCCAGUUGAGUCUUUCACACCUCGUACGACUCUGACUCACAUUCUUCUGCCAUCUUUUUCCAUUUACAAGGACACUUGUGAUUACAUCUGUCUAUUGGGAAAAUCCAGGGUCACUUCCCCAUCUCAAGGUCAGCUGCAUCGAACACCCGGGGCUGGCUCAAUUCCUUUCUACACCUGCCAAGAAAAUCUAAGUGGAUAAUGAUGCUGACCAAUCAAUGGGCCGUGGGCAACACAGGAAAUCAGUGGGCCCGCAAAAAGCUGGGCACCACGUGUUACGGUUGGGAAAUGAAUCUUCAGUGACAGAGCCCACAGAGGAAAACACCCAAACCUGACCCUCCCUUUAACCUUGCGAGCGCUAUCACUCAGCCAGAUACCACCACUGUUUCCCGAGGACUAAGAGAGAUGGCUCUUUGCCUGGUGGAGCUGUGAGGAAGAUGAUGGGAAACGGGCAUGCUGGCAUCGGAGUUUUUCUGGAUUGGAAAAAGAGGAUUUUACUUUUCAGCACCUGCCAGCAUGAUAGGUUUGCCAAGAAUUCUACACUAAACAAACACACACGCCUACAUCACCCCUCCUCCCAAGCAGGCAUAACCCACUGGGGAAGGAAACAGCUCAGGAAGGCGGAUGGCAGGGGUUCGUGAACCUUGCUAGUUUCCAGGGCACGAUCCAUUUUAAUCUCCGCCAGAGGACUUAAAAAUCUAUUCUGUCAAUAUCUCCCUUAUUAGUAAAGUUUGGGUCCCAAAGCAAGAAAACUAAGGCUUAAUUUUGACUUAGAAGAUUGUUGUUGUUGUUUUAUUAUAAGUUUUGAUUAUGUAGUAUGUGUGUGUAUAUAUGUUAUUCACUACAUACAUAUUUAUGUAUUUUUAAUAUAUUUUAUAUUUUAAUAUAACAUAUAAUACAUAUUAUAUAUUAUAUAAUAUGUAAUUAUAUAUUAAAAUAUAUAAUUAUACAUAUAUUUUAAUACAUAAAGUAUAUUUUAAUGUAUAUAUAAAUUAUACACAUGUAUAUUCAAAUGUGUAUAUCAAUAUUUAUGUAUAUAUUUAGAUUUGAAAGCCUUGGGGGACAUGUAGGUCCAUAUCCUCUUGUAGAUAUCGUAGUGGGAUCCUGGCUUUUGGUUAUCGUCUCCCCCAAGUCUCCUAUUCCCUUUCCGUCCCAUUUUUUUCUUGCAAAGAACAAGCAAUGACUGAGGCUUUCAUAGCCAUUGUCACAGAAUAGGUCCUGUGGGGAGUUGAUUUGUAAAAAGUUCCUGGACCAAAAUAAAGGUGGUGACCAAAAUGAAGUCAUCUCUGCCACCUCCCAGUGGGUAUCGAUGUGGAAACGGUAACUUGAAUCUGAAGCUUCUUUGUGCCCAGCCCCACUGUGCUGAUGAGAGCAGACAGGGUGGGAGAGAAAGGGGCACACAGAGUGGACAUGUGGAUGCCGUUCCUCAAGCCCUUGAAGAAACCAAGAGUUGGCCGCAGCCCUGACCCAGAGUUCUGGGAGAUGGGUCCGUGGUAACCCCGCAAGGGAGAAGAGGGCAAGAAGGCCAGGAUUCCCAGGGCUCAUCCAGAACAGCCCAUCCGUCCAGAUGGGUAUCCUUGAUUCCAGUACCUUCCCUGCUCACACAUCUCUUUCAUCCAUUCAUUGUACCACUCUGAAGUGUAGAAUAUGCAAAAGAGAGAAUAAAAUCAUAUCAUCGCCACAUGUAGUUUGCUGUGUCAUGCUUAUCCUGGUGGAU
rnacentral:lncRNA from 1 species